rnacentral:lncRNA from 1 species
ACUGUUUCCACUGUAAACGAUAACUUCAUUUCAAAAACAGGGUUCCCUAGAUGUGUGAAGGAGGGCGCUCACAGCGUUGUUCAAUACUGAGCCAUUUGCUGACCAUCACAGCUAGGAAAUCGCUUCCUUAGUGCCAAGGGAAUUGCUAGAAAGCAUGCAGAAUGGCUUUGACAUCCUCCAGCAAGGGGCAGUUUUUUCCCUUUCUCUGCUAUUGUUACGUUCUUUGUUGCGAAGUGUUUGGAGUAGCAGUGGCAUUAAUAACACCAAAAGCAGGAUUUCUAAAAUUAGCGUCCCCGGACCGGUUUGCCGUCUGUCUCCCAUGCCACGCUCAGCUCUGCCAAAGCGGCGUGGCAGUUUGUUUCAGCGUGGCCGCCCUUUGGGCAUUUGCAGGAAUACUGCAGCAAAUCAUCCUGCAUGCAAGGCUGACCUCUGGGAGGCUAACAAAUUGAGAUCAAGACAGCAGUUUCAACAAAUAUUAAAAUUGAUGGCUCCUAGUCACCCUGAAAGUCAGUUUGAAUCUCUUCCUAUUCCAGCCACCACUGACUUGGAAUUAAACUAAAUUGAAAUCUUUUCCAUCCAUAAGCACAACUGGUCUUUGCCUUCACCAUGUCAAGGAGUGUUAAUGAUGUGCUCCCCUUCUGUUGCAUUCCCCACCUGUCAUCU